rnacentral:rRNA from 1 species
GGCGAGUGAAGCGGGAAGAGCUCAAAUUUGAAAUCUUCAAGGUUCUACCUUGACGAAUUGUAGUUUAAAGAAGUGUUUUCUGCUAGUGGAGUGGCAAAAGUUCUUUGGAAUAGGACAUCAUAGAGGGUGAGAAUCCCGUAUUUGGUCAUUCUUUCUAGCUUUGUGAUACACUUUCAAAGAGUCGGAUUGUUUGGGAAUGCAGUCCAAAAUGGGUGGUAAAUUUCAUCUAAAGCUAAAUAUUGGCGAGAGACCGAUAGCGAACAAGUACCGUGAGGGAAAGAUGAAAAGAACUUUGAAAAGAGAGUUAAACAGUACGUGAAAUUGUCAAAAGGGAAGCGUUUGACACCAGUGUUGUUUUUCCGAAAAUCAAUUAUGAAUGUUUUGUUUUUGAGGAGUUAUGACUUCAUCGGCUUGCUCCUUUCUUUACGGAACUUUCGUAAUGCACUUUUCGGUUAACAAGUCAACAUCAAUUUCUUUUGUUGUAAAAGGGUACGAGGAAGGUGGCUUUCUUUUCGGAGAAAGUGUUUAUAGCCUUGUGCCUCUGCAAUCGGAGAGAUUGAGGUCUGCAGCGUAGAUCCUUCGGGGCUAGAUACACUUGUGCUAAGUUAUAGCUUUUCAUAGACAACUUGUUGACUAUGUUUAGUCUUGUAGCUUACCCGCUUGUGCUAUUUUACCUACGCUUAGGAUGUUGACAAAAUGGUUUUAAACGACCCCUC